GAGGAAUAUUGGUCAUGGACGAGAGUCUGAACCAGCCAAGUAGCGUGAAGGAUGACUGCCCUAUGGGUUGUAAACUUCUUUUAUAUGGGAAUAAAGUUUUCCCCGUGUGGAAAUUUUGUAUGUACCAUAUGAAUAAGGAUCGGCUAACUCC
rnacentral:rRNA from 1 species